AGACCCGAAACCCGGUGAUCUAGCCAUGGGCAGGUUGAAGGUUGGGUAACACUAACUGGAGGACCGAACCGACUAAUGUUGAAAAAUUAGCGGAUGACCUGUGGCUGGGGGUGAAAGGCCAAUCAAACCGGGAGAUAGCUGGUUCUCCCCGAAAGCUAUUUAGGUAGCGCCUCGUGAAUUCAUCUCCGGGGGUAGAGCACUGUUUCGGCUAGGGGGCCAUCCCGGCUUACCAACCCGAUGCAAACUGCGAAUACCGGAGAAUGUUAUCACGGGAGACACACGGCGGGUGCUAACGUCCGUCGUGAAGAGGGAAACAACCCAGACCGCCAGCUAAGGUCCCAAAGUCAUGGUUAAGUGGGAAACGAUGUGGGAAGGCCCAGACAGCCAGGAUGUUGGCUUAGAAGCAGCCAUCAUUUAAAGAAAGCGUAAUAGCUCACUGGUCGAGUCGGCCUGCGCGGAAGAUGUAACGGGGCUAAACCAUGCACCGAAGCUGCGGCAGCGAACGUAUCACCCAAGACAACUUUACGGAGUUGACGAUUGACGGAGCGAAGCGACGUCAAAGCGUUCAUUAAAGUCGAGUUGGCUUAGGGAUACGUUCGUUGGGUAGGGGAGCGUUCUGUAAGCCUGUGAAGGUGUGUCGUGAGGCAUGCUGGAGGUAUCAGAAGUGCGAAUGCUGACAUAAGUAACGAUAAAGCGGGUGAAAAGCCCGCUCGCCGGAAGACCAAGGGUUCCUGUCCAACGUUAAUCGGGGCAGGGUGAGUCGACCCCUAAGGCGAGGCCGAAAGGCGUAGUCGAUGGGAAACGGGUUAAUAUUCCCGUACUUGGUGUUACUGCGAAGGGGGGACGGAGAAGGCUAUGUUGGCCGGGCGACGGUUGUCCCGGUUUAAGCGUGUAGGUGUGUGUUCCAGGUAAAUCCGGUUCACUUUAACACUGAGGCGUGACGACGAGGCACUACGGUGCUGAAGCAACAAAUGCCCUGCUUCCAGGAAAAGCCUCUAAGCAUCAGGUAACACGAAAUCGU
rnacentral:rRNA from 2 species